CCGUGGCUGCACGCCUCUGCAUUGUUUGCAAGAUUAUUUUUCAUUGUCAGCGAAUUCCGUUGAGCUCUGCACUUUUUUAAUCGCUAAGCUAAAUUCGUCGAAUCAAACGAAACUUUGAUUACCAGUAAUCUCCGCUACACAACAGCAGCCAGGCUGCACAGCAACUCCUCCGUUUGGAUAAAAAUCAGCAUCACCAAUCGGCUGCAGCCAACCCAAUAUCCCUCCACAGGAAUGUAUUACGUCGACGAAAUCGGCGUCGGUGCUAUCGAGACGGCCAGUGGCCGCUGCGAGAAUGUGAAACCCUGGCAAAGCCGGAUCUAGUCCAGUUACUCGACCUAAUUUUCCAGACCUGACGGACGCUCCUGUAUUUCCGGCCACAUGAGCUCCUAGCGAGUGUCCUGCCGGUUUCUUCGACCAAAUAAUCGAUGAAACGUCCAGCUUCACUUCCGACUCUUCCGGUAUUUCGCAUUGGUCCAAGAUAAAAAGUGCUCGAUGCCAAGGGCUCCCAGUCGACCAAAAACACAUUGUAAUCGCCAUGAUUGAUAUCUACAAAGGAAUAAUGCGGUAAAAUUUUUUCUGAUCGAUGUGUUAAAGUACCUUGUGAAGAGCAGAAAAUGGAUGGCUUGAUCAUCCAAUAUACUGCGAGACUCGGGUUCUUGUCCUUUGAGAAUGGCAACUUGAGGUUUUUCAUUUCCAUCUGGCAUAAAAAUCCACUCUUCGCCAUAACCGUCAUAACG